CCGAGUGCGGGCCCUCGCGGCCCAACCUCCCACCCUUGUCUCUAUACACCUGUUGCUUUGGCGGGCCCACCGGGGCCACCUGGUCGCCGGGGGACGCACGUCUCCGGGCCCGCGCCCGCCGAAGCGCUCUGUGAACCCUGAUGAAGAUGGGCUGUCUGAGUACUGUGAAAAUUGUCA
rnacentral:misc_RNA from 1 species